ACCCAGACCUCCUGGAUCCUAGGCCGAUGCUCAACCGCUGAGCCACGCGGGCUGGGCAGUGAAUGAACGGUCUCAAAAGUACUCUCGUAGAGGACUGUCGUCAACCUGUAAGACCUCAAAGAAACCAGCCACGGGAACAAGAAAAUACAGUGAGGCAGCACAGCGUUUCAGAGAAAAUCGUGUCAUUCAAGCAGCACCACUCAUGGGCCAAGUAGGACGCGAGGAAGUCCAAUCCCUGCCUCCCCUGCGUGUGCAUUUACACAGUCAUGGCUAUAUUAUCUGUGGUCCUUUGUUUCAGCCAAUGAAAUGGAAUAUCUUCACCAGGACAUCGAGUUUGCAUUUCCCUGUACGUCUUCUUUUGAGGGCCGGGCCCCUCUAAAACAUGAGAACCCAAAGACAGAUUCUCUUGCUGUUUUAAUCUCUUCAUUAUUUCCCGGUUUAAAGGGAUUGGAAAUGAAGACGCGGUUUAUUAAGGGGCUGCAGAAGUGAUUCUUUUUACUCAGAGGUGCAGCCACUUCGGGUGCUUUUGAAGAGUAGAAGGAAAGUCAUCAUGUCGAGGAUGUGACUCUCAGUGGCAAUCACGUCGUCACAGUCAACCCCAGACCUGAAAUUCAGCACAGUCAGAGGUGUCUGUCUGGCUGCUCGAAAGCUGAUUUGCUACCCAGCUAAAUCCCAUGACGUUGAUAAAGUGUAGGAUUCAUUAUUUAGCAGAUUCGAAAACUUUACAAGUAUUAGCACAUUUCAUCUUUACAACAACUUCCCUACUGUCCCCAAGACACAGAAAAAGAAACCGAGGGACUAACAGGUUAACUUCCUCAUGGUCAGCGGUAUCCAGUAAGUAGCAGAGCCUGGAUUGAAAAGAAAUCCAGGCACCCUGGCCCUAGAGGCCACGGACUUGACUUAGCUACACUGCCUUCUACGGUCGCCACAGAGCAAGUUAGAAAUAAUUUUGCACUAAAAAGACUAAUGAGCCAACAGAAUUACACUAUAUUGCCUUUUUAAUUUUUUUUUUAAAUAAGGGGAUCGUUAAGUUUCCACUUAAGUUAAAUAAA